UUAUGAGGAGAGCUCUAUGAGCUCACGAACUCAGUUAUCCCAGACUUCCAAGAAAAGUUCCGGCGUGAGUCACUUUACUGACCGUACCGCAAACCGACACAGGUGGGCAAGGAGAAUAUCCUAAGGCGUUUGAGAGAAGCCUCUCUAAGGAACUCUGCAUAAUGACACCGUAACUUCGGGAUAAGGUGUGCCGACGGUAGGUGAUGUGCCUGCGCACAAAGCCCAAGUCGGUUGCAGUGAAACGGGGGUAGCGACUGUUUACCAAAAACACAGCACUCUGCAAACUCGUAAGGGGAUGUAUAGGGUGUGAUGCCUGCCCGGUGCCGGAAGGUUAAGAGGAGGAGUCAGCCGCAAGGCAAAGCCCCGAAUCGAAGCCCCGGUAAACGGCGGCCGUAACAAUAACGGUCCUAAGGUAGCGAAAUUCCUUGUCGGGUAAGUUCCGACCUGCACGAAUGGCAUAACGACUUCCCCACUGUCUCGGAGAGGCCCUCAGCGAAGUAGCACUAGGGGUGAAGAUACCCUUUACCCGCGGCAGGACGGAAAGACCCCGUGAACCUUUACUGUAACUUGGCACUGAUUUUCGGGUUAGCUUGCGUAGGAUAGGUGGGAGGCUAUGAAGCCGGGAUUCCGGUCUCGGCAGAGCCAACCUUGAAAUACCACCCUGGCUAACCUAAAAAUCUAACUCGCUUCCGUAAUCCGGAAGGAGGACAAUGCCUGGUGGGCAGUUUGACUGGGGCGGUCGCCUCCCAAAAAGUAACGGAGGCGCGCGAAGGUUCCCUCAGCCUGAUUGGAAACCAGGCGCAGAGUGUAAUGGCAUAAGGGAGCUUGACUGCGAGACAAACAAGUCGAGCAGGUGCGAAAGCAGGUCAUAGUGAUCCGGUGGUCCUGUAUGGAAAGGCCAUCGCUCAACGGAUAAAAGGUACUCCGGGGAUAACAGGCUUAUCACGCCCAAGAGUUCACAUCGACGGCGUGGUUUGGCACCUCGAUGUCGGCUCAUCGCAUCCUGGGGCUGAAGUAGGUCCCAAGGGUUCGGCUGUUCGCCGAUUAAAGCGGUACGCGAGCUGGGUUCAAAACGUCGUGAGACAGUUUGGUCCCUAUCCGCCGUGGGCGCAGGAGACUUGAGAGGAGCUAACCUUAGUACGAGAGGACCGGGUUGGACUGACCUCUAGUGUUCCGGUUGUGGCACCAGCCGCAUCGCCGGGUAGCUACGUCGGGAAUGGAUAACCGCUGAAAGCAUCUAAGUGGGAAGCCAACCUCAAGAUUAGGUCUCCCAGGUCGUAAGACCCUAAAGGCCCCUCGUAGACCACGAGGUAAUAGGCUGGGUGUGGAAGCGUAGUAAUACGUGAAGCUGACCAGUACUAAUCGGCCGUGCGGCUUGACC
rnacentral:rRNA from 1 species